rnacentral:rRNA from 1 species
AAACCAACAGGGAUUGCCUUAGUAACGGCGAGUGAACGGCAAAAGCUCAAAUUUGAAAUCUGGCACCUUCGGUGUCCGAGUUGUAAUUUGAAGAAGGUAACUUUGGAGUCAGCUCUUGUCUAUGUUCCUUGGAACAGGACGUCACAGAGGGUGAGAAUCCCGUGCGAUGAGAUGUCUGAUUCUAUGUAAAGUGCUUUCGAAGAGUCGAGUUGUUUGGGAAUGCAGCUCUAAGUGGGUGGUAAAUUCCAUCUAAAGCUAAAUAUUGGCGAGAGACCGAUAGCGAACAAGUACAGUGAUGGAAAGAUGAAAAGAACUUUGAAAAGAGAGUGAAAAAGUACGUGAAAUUGUUGAAAGGGAAGGGUUUGAGAUCAGACUUGGUAUUUUGUAUGUCUUGCUUUCGGGUGGGGCCUCUACAGUUUACUGGGCCAGCAUCGGUUUGGACGGUAGGAUAAUGACAUUGGAAUGUGGCACCACUUCGGUGGUGUGUUAUAGACUUUGUUGAUACUGCCUGUCUAGACCGAGGACUGCGUCUUUGACUAGGAUGCUGGCAUAAUGAUCUUAAACCGCCCGUCUG